rnacentral:rRNA from 1 species
GAGUUUGAUCCUGGCUCAGAUUGAACGCUGGCGGCAUGCCUUACACAUGCAAGUCGAACGGUAACAGCACUUCGGUGGCUGACGAGUGGCGAACGGGUGAGUAAUACAUCGGAACGUGCCCGAGAGUGGGGGAUAACGCAGCGAAAGCUGUGCUAAUACCGCAUACGAUCUACGGAUGAAAGCAGGGGACCGCAAGGCCUUGCGCUCACGGAGCGGCCGAUGGCAGAUUAGGUAGUUGGUGGGAUGAAAGCUUACCAAGCCGACGAUCUGUAGCUGGUCUGAGAGGACGACCAGCCACACUGGGACUGAGACACGGCCCAGACUCCUACGGGAGGCAGCAGUGGGGAAUUUUGGACAAUGGGCGAAAGCCUGAUCCAGCCAUGCCGCGUGCAGGAUGAAGGCCUUCAGGUUGUAAACUGCUUUUGUACGGAACGAAAA